rnacentral:rRNA from 1 species
AUACGUAGGGGGCAAGCGUUAUCCGGAUUUACUGGGUGUAAAGGGAGCGUAGACGGAAGGCCAAGUCUGAUGUGAAAGCCCGCGGCUCAACUGCGGGACUGCAUUGGAAACUGGUCAUCUGGAGUGCAGGAGGGGUAAGCGGAAUUCCUAGUGUAGCGGUGAAAUGCGUAGAUAUCAUGAAGAACUCCGAUUGCGAAGGCAGUCCGCUGGGGCACGUCUGACGCUGAUGCUCGAAGAUGCGGGAGUCAAACAGGAUUAGAUACCCUGGUAGUCCGCACGGUAAACGAUGAUUACCCGCUGUCGGCGGCAGACAGUCGGCGGCCAAGCGAAAGCGAUAAGUAAUCCACCUGGGGAGUACGCCGGCAACGGUGAAACUCAAAUGAAUUGGCGGGG